AUGCAAAACUGUACCGUGCUAGCUAUUUAUCUGUCUUUUUUGUGUCCUUGUGUUUCAUUAAGGUGUCCAGCGGACAUUUAUGACCGCUUCUGGGCAAGGAAAUCCAAUUCCUACCCCGCGGUGAACCUGAACACUACCAAUAAAGUGGAGAGCCUCCCUGGCAGCAACUUCAAUAUACCGUCGGUCAUAAUGCAGAAUGCCGUGACCGUAGACAUGAACUUCUCCAGGUCCAGGACAAUCCUCUCCCUGGAAGCAACUUCUAAUCUAGACACCAACAGCCUGCAGCUUCUCCCAAUCUUUCACUUUGCCGAGAUCAAUGGGAGCAACCCGAACAGGAAGUUUGACAUCUACAGCGAUCACGAAUUGCUGUUCUCAGACUCCUGA
rnacentral:rRNA from 1 species